UACGGGAGGCAGCAGUGGGGAAUAUUGCACAAUGGGCGCAAGCCUGAUGCAGCCAUGCCGCGUGUAUGAAGAAGGCCUUCGGGUUGUAAAGUACUUUCAGUCGUGAGGAAGGUGUUAAGGUUAAUAACCUUAGCAAUUGACGUUAGCGACAGAAGAAGCACUGGCUAACUCCGUGCCAGCAGCCGCGGUAAUACAGAGGGUGCGAGCGUUAAUCGGAAUUACUGGGCGUAAAGGGCACGCAGGCGGUUAAUUAAGUUGGAUGUGAAAUCCCCGGGCUUAACCUGGGAAUGGCAUUCAAGACUGGUUAGCUAGAGUCUUGUAGAGGGGGUAGAAUUCCAUGUGUAGCGGUGAAAUGCGUAGAGAUGUGGAGGAAUACCGGUGGCGAAGGCGGCCCCUGGGACAAGACUGACGCUCAUGUGCGAAAGCGUGGGGAGCAAACAGGGAUUAGAUACC
rnacentral:rRNA from 1 species